CCUACGGAGCAGCAGUGGGGAAUAUUGGACAAUGGGCGAAAGCCUGAUCCAGCCAUGCCGCGUGUGUGAAGAAGGCCUUCGGGUUGUAAAGCACUUUCAGUGGGGAAGAAAGCCUUGGGGCUAAUACCCUCGAGGAAGGACAUCACCCACAGAAGAAGCACCGGCUAACUCCGUGCCAGCAGCCGCGGUAAUACGGAGGGUGCGAGCGUUAAUCGGAAUUACUGGGCGUAAAGCGCGCGUAGGCGGUCUGAUAAGCCGGUUGUGAAAGCCCCGGGCUCAACCUGGGAACGGCAUCCGGAACUGUCAGGCUAGAGUGCAGGAGAGGAAGGUAGAAUUCCCGGUGUAGCGGUGAAAUGCGUAGAGAUCGGGAGGAAUACCAGUGGCGAAGGCGGCCUUCUGGACUGACACUGACGCUGAGGUGCGAAAGCGUGGGUAGCAAACAGGAUUAGAUACCCUUGUAGUC
rnacentral:rRNA from 1 species